rnacentral:rRNA from 1 species
CGUAGGCGGACGGGUGAGUAACGCGUGAGUAACCUGCCUUUCAGAGGGGAAUAACGUUCUGAAAAGAACGCUAAUACCGCAUAACGUACAGUUACCGCAUGGUAGCAGUACCAAAGGAGCAAUCCGCUGAAAGAUGGACUCGCGUCCGAUUAGCUAGUUGGUGGGGUAAAGGCCUACCAAGGCGACGAUCGGUAGCCGGACUGAGAGGUUGAACGGCCACAUUGGGACUGAGACACGGCCCAG